rnacentral:rRNA from 1 species
AUUGAACGCUGGCGGCAGGCCUAACACAUGCAAGUCGAGCGGAUGAAGGGAGCUUGCUCCUGGAUUCAGCGGCGGACGGGUGAGUAAUGCCUAGGAAUCUGCCUGGUAGUGGGGGAUAACGUCCGGAAACGGGCGCUAAUACCGCAUACGUCCUGAGGGAGAAAGUGGGGGAUCUUCGGACCUCACGCUAUCAGAUGAGCCUAGGUCGGAUUAGCUAGUUGGUGGGGUAAAGGCCUACCAAGGCGACGAUCCGUAACUGGUCUGAGAGGAUGAUCAGUCACACUGGACCUGAGACACGGUCCAGCCUCCUACGGGAGGCAGCAGUGGGGAAUAUUGGACAAUGGGCGAAAGCCUGAUCCAGCCAUGCCGCGUGUGUGAAGAAGGUCUUCGGAUUGUAAAGCACUUUAAGUUGGGAGGAAGGGCAGUAAGUUAAGACCUUGCUGUUUUGACGUUACCAACAGAAUAAGCACCGGCUAACUUCGU